GACGAACGCCGGCGGCGUGCUUAACACAUGCAAGUCGAACGGAAAGGCCCUGCUUUUGUGGGGUGCUCGAGUGGCGAACGGGUGAGUAACACGUGAGUAACCUGCCCUUGACUUUGGGAUAACUUCAGGAAACUGGGGCUAAUACCGGAUAGGAGCUCCUGCUGCAUGGUGGGGGUUGGAAAGUUUCGGCGGUUGGGGAUGGACUCGCGGCUUAUCAGCUUGUUGGUGGGGUAGUGGCUUACCAAGGCUUUGACGGGUAGCCGGCCUGAGAGGGUGACCGGCCACAUUGGGACUGAGAUACGGCCCAGACUCCUACGGGAGGCAGCAGUGGGGAAUAUUGCACAAUGGGCGGAAGCCUGAUGCAGCAACGCCGCGUGCGGGAUGACGGCCUUCGGGUUGUAAACCGCUUUCGCCUGUGACGAAGCGUGAGUGACGGUAAUGGGUAAAGAAGCACCGGCUAACUACGUGCCAGCAGCCGCGGUGAUACGUAGGGUGCGAGCGUUGUCCGGAUUUAUUGGGCGUAAAGGGCUCGUAGGUGGUUGAUCGCGUCGGAAGUGUAAUCUUGGGGCUUAACCCUGAGCGUGCUUUCGAUACGGGUUGACUUGAGGAAGGUAGGGGAGAAUGGAAUUCCUGGUGGAGCGGUGGAAUGCGCAGAUAUCAGGAGGAACACCAGUGGCGAAGGCGGUUCUCUGGGCCUUUCCUGACGCUGAGGAGCGAAAGCGUGGGGAGCGAACAGGCUUAGAUACCCCGGUAGUCCACGCUGUAAACGGUGGGUACUAGGUGUGGGGUCCAUUCCACGGGUUCCGUGCCGUAGCUAACGCUUUAAGUACCCCGCCUGGGGAGUAUGGCCGCAAGGCUAAAACUCAAAGGAAUUGACGGGGCCCCGCACAAGCGGCGGAGCAUGCGGAUUAAUUCGAUGCAACGCGUAGAACCUUACCUGGGUUUGACAUGGAUCGGGAGUGCUCAGAGAUGGGUGUGCCUCUUUUGGGGUCGGUUCACAGGUGGUGCAUGGCUGUCGUCAGCUCGUGUCGUGAGAUGUUGGGUUAAGUCCCGCAACGAGCGCAACCCUUGUUCACUGUUGCCAGCACGUUAUGGUGGGGACUCAGUGGAGACCGCCGGGGUCAACUCGGAGGAAGGUGGGGAUGACGUCAAGUCAUCAUGCCCCUUAUGUCCAGGGCUUCACGCAUGCUACAAUGGCUGGUACAGAGAGUGGCGAGCCUGUGAGGGUGAGCGAAUCUCGGAAAGCCGGUCUCAGUUCGGAUUGGGGUCUGCAACUCGACCUCAUGAAGUCGGAGUCGCUAGUAAUCGCAGAUCAGCAACGCUGCGGUGAAUACGUUCCCGGG
rnacentral:rRNA from 1 species